CAUAUGCUUCUGUUGCCAAGGCAAUGGUCAAUUUUGUGCCAGCGAUGUCUUUUUUUGUGUUCUUCCAGUCUUUGUGCCGGUGUUGUUGUUGUUGUCGUCGCCCUGAUGUACGCUUCUUGCUGCUGUGUCAUGUUGUUUUGUACUGGGAUUUUGUACACUCCUAACUUUCCCUGACUUCUUUGGGUGUUUUUCAUUGUGCAGUUGAUUGGGAAUCAUUAGCACUCUUUUGAUGGCUAAUUUUUUGCCUAUUUUUCACAACUUUUUUGGUAACAUGGAGCUUAUUUAUUGCAUAGGGCACUGGUAAGUAUUCUUCCUUCCCUGCUUCGUCAUUAUUAUUUCAUCAGUUUUGGGGGUUCCUGUGCUUUACGGUGGAUGGGUAAUAGGAGGAGUCUGUUGAAUCCAUGCUGGUAUCCAACUUGAUAGAUGUAAUCUGGCCCUUUUUUCAAUCCUUGGUUGUCUUUAAUGUGGAGAUUUGCCAUACUGAAAUAAAAAUUAAAUUAAAAUUCACCAGAGCAGACAAAUCAAGAAAAAUGGUGUUACUGCAAAGAGAAAGAUAUGAUGCCUUCUUACAUGAAUACAUACAAGCCACACAACCUGAAAUAGUCCAAAAAGGUCCAACUAUGGAACUAAAAGCAGCAAUAGAUAAAAAUCACAAAAAGUAAACACUUCCCAGAGGUUUGGAGGCAUAUGACAGUAAAAGCCCCAGUCUGCCCCAGAUUGUUUGCAUAUAUCAAAAUGCAUAAAGAUCCAGUAACAACAAGGCCAAUCAUAGAAAAGAGGUGCUCCUACAUAUAACUUGGAAUAGAAAUUGGCAAAUUGGGCCAUGAAUAUACUAGGCCAAACUGAUAAUUCCAUCAUGGUUACAAUGCAAGCACUAGCAAGGCUGAGAGAAUUUGAAUGGCACCAAGCAGAUGUAGUAGCAACCUUUGAAUUCUAGAGCUUCUACUCUUCAUUAGAAAUAGAACCAAUGUGUCUUGCAUUUUAUAGAUUUUCGCUUUUGAAUGUACCUAACAUGCAAGAAAGAAGACCAUUUCUAAGGGAAUUGGCUUAUAUGAUAUGCCAUAAAUCUUUCUUCAAAUUUAGAGGCAAAUAUUAUCACAAAUGAAAGGCAUUCCAAUAGGAAGCCCCAUGGUGACUCCUUUAGCUGAAAUUUUUGCUUGGAGAAGCCGAAAGUAAAGUGCUAAGUAGAUUCUGGUAAAACUUGAGAUUAUAUAUAAGAUUCAUAGAUAUCAUCACAGUAUGGAGCAACAGAAUGAAGAUGCAUCAUUAAUAUUUUUAUACUUCCUCAAACAUGUUGAUUACUAAGCCAAAUAAAUACAUUCGGACGGCAGUUGUGUAUAUAAAAACUUUUUAUUUCCCUUAACGUUUUUGACAGUUUAUAAUUUUGUCAUCUUCAGAGGCUAAUGACAAAAAACAUACGAACUCGGAAAAAUUCGGAACAUAAUUAUGUUACGAAUGUUUCCGGAAUGUUAAGAAUGAAGAUGGAUGAACUGGCUGAUGAAUUAACACUGAAAUCAUAUCUUACACUAAAAAGACAACAAAUCAGUAAUUCCACAAUAUAUUAUUUUAGACAUAAAAUUAGAACUGAAAGAUACCAAACUGAAAACAUCAGUUUAUAGUCAAGAUGGUCCUCAGACCUGGUUACAUACAAAGUAUUGGUCUUCAAUUUUAUUCCAGGAGGGCAAAUUUUUACAUUACAGACAAUCAAGAAUUGAAAAAAAGAGCUAAAUUAUAUCUAUCAAGUUGGAUACCAGCAUGGAUAUAGCAGACAUUUCCUAUCAGCCAUCUACUAUAAAGCAUAAGAACCCCACAACCAAUGAAAUACCAAUGGUGGAAGAAUACUUACCAGUGCCCUAUGUUAUGAACAAGCUCCAUGUUACCAAAAAGUUGUGAAAAAAGUAGGUAAAAAGUUAACUAUUAAAAGAGCAC
rnacentral:lncRNA from 1 species